UGGGUUUAUGUUUCCUUGUGUGCACGCACAAAGGGAGGAUAUGCCUGAGGACAACGUCUUUCUUUGCUGAUAUGUAAAUUUCCAAUACAGGUCAAGUUGAAUCCUGAAACCCUGAAGUGUGAACCGCCAAGGGCUCCCAGACU